rnacentral:rRNA from 1 species
AUGCUUCUGUGCCAUGCAAUCAGAAAAGUUCCGCAACAUCCACUCGUAUGCCUGGCUUGUUUCAUGAGAAAUUAUACCACAGCCAAAAAUAACAGUGCUACGGUGGUGAUUCAACCCGACAAACGGCACGAAUGGCAGAUUGUAUUUGUUGGUUCUGUAUGUGCUAUCGAAAACAAUGACGUCUUCGAAAGCCUCGUAGUCAAGUCGCGACUGACUAUCGGCCCAGAACAGUCCCUUCAGAUGGCCAUGCUCGUCUACCAAGUACUUGAAGAAAAAAUCCACAUCUCGCUCUCGCCUCGCCAUCAUGUGCAUGAUCACCGUAUUAGCAUCACCGGCACUGAUUGUCUCCUGCUUAUUAGCAUGGCAGAAAUUAUAAACGUCCCUCUUUAUGCAUCCAACCUUAUCAAAUCCACCGUAUUGAAAGCACAAAAUAUCCAUAAUACGGUAUUUGCGGAUCCCACAUUUUUCCAUGUCCGCAAUGUCCGCUUCUGCUCAUCGCUAAUUCGUCUGUGCAAACACAGUAGACAAGAAAGAUCCCGUGGGGCUAGAGGAUGGUUGUGCUCAUCGAUGAAAUCCUUGACAAACCACCGACCGGUUUCCUCCUAUCUCGUAAUGACCAAUUUAGCAUUACACCCAACACGAGUUAAACUUCGUGGCCUCCUCUUUCUAUCUUCCAUCUUUCUUUUCAUGUGCUUCUCUUCGCAAAACCCUUGA